UGGCGUGGGGAAAUGUGCCGAGGGGCCGGGGCUCCGCGGGGCCAGUCCCGGCGACGCAGCCACCCGUGCGCGAGCGAUCGCUCGGCCACCCGCGCCCCAGCCCCAGUCCGCGCUCGGCGCCUGGGGUCUGCGAGCCCUUCGGGCUCCGGGCGGCGCACGGGGCGGGCGGGAGCCGGCAGCGCAGGACGCCGAGCUCCAGGUGCCCGGCAAGCGGCUGCGCGCCGCGGUGCCCGGCUGGGUUGGGGACUGUCGCUGGGUGCUGAGCUAGUGGAUUGCAGCGGAAAAUCAAAGAUGUCACAGUGGAUCCUUUGCCUCCAGGACACAUUAAGGUGAGAAUACGACCUCUGGCUGUCUAGAACUAGCCUGAGAGUGUAAGGCAGCCAUGGAUAUAGGAUAUGAGCUACUCAAUGAGAGCCACACUUGGCUUUCCCCUCCAUUUGACCUUGAUGGCUCUGGGGUGGCGGCCAACAGCUCCAACCAGACAGAGCCGUACUAUGAUCUGACCAGCAAUGCAGUCCUCACAUUCAUCUACUUUGUGGUCUGCAUCAUUGGAUUGUGUGGCAACACACUUGUCAUUUAUGUCAUCCUCCGCUAUGCCAAGAUGAAGACCAUCACCAACAUUUACAUCCUCAACCUGGCCAUCGCAGAUGAGCUCUUCAUGCUGGGUCUGCCCUUCCUGGCCAUGCAGGUGGCUCUGGUCCACUGGCCCUUUGGCAAGGCCAUUUGCCGGGUGGUCAUGACUGUGGAUGGCAUCAAUCAGUUCACCAGCAUUUUCUGCUUGACAGUCAUGAGUAUCGAUCGAUACCUGGCUGUGGUCCACCCCAUCAAGUCAGCCAAGUGGAGAAGACCCCGAACGGCCAAGAUGAUCAAUGUGGCCGUGUGGGGAGUGUCCCUGCUGGUCAUCUUGCCCAUCAUGAUAUAUGCUGGGCUUCGGAGCAACCAGUGGGGGAGAAGCAGCUGUACCAUCAACUGGCCAGGUGAAUCUGGGGCAUGGUACACGGGGUUCAUUAUCUACACCUUCAUCUUGGGGUUCCUGGUGCCCCUCACCAUCAUCUGUCUUUGCUACCUGUUCAUUAUCAUCAAGGUGAAGUCCUCUGGGAUCCGAGUGGGUUCCUCCAAGCGGAAAAAGUCUGAGAAGAAGGUCACGCGGAUGGUGUCCAUAGUGGUGGCGGUAUUCAUUUUCUGCUGGCUUCCCUUCUACAUCUUCAAUGUCUCCUCUGUCUCGGUGGUCAUCAGUCCCACCCCAGCCCUUAAAGGCAUGUUUGACUUUGUGGUGGUCCUCACCUAUGCUAACAGCUGCGCCAACCCUAUCCUGUACGCCUUCUUGUCUGACAACUUCAAGAAGAGCUUCCAGAAUGUCCUCUGCUUGGUCAAGAGAGGAAAAUGUGGGCUGGCGCGUGGGACUUCCAGAGCCGGCCGGGAGCCGGAGUCUACUUGCUAACACAGAUUUAACCUCCGGGUCGGAACACACGUGUUGCUGGCUGGAUGGGAGCCCCGUGCUGGAAAAGUGUACAGUCUGGUCGUUGAGAGAGGCAUGAACGUACCUCAAAGAGGCUCGCCAACGUAAAAGAAGUCUUCCUUUUGUCCAUCGUCCCACUACAGGGCAUUUCUGGGCUUCAGGAUAUCUACAUCAGCUCCUUUUUGGUGCUUUCUGAGUACCUGCCAGUAUGUGACGGAGAAGACAGCUAUGCCGCCCAUCUGUAAUCCCGACACUUCGGGAGCAAAGACUUGGACUGCAUAAAGGCUCACUCUGUUUGGCUGCAGCUUAAACGCCUCUGAACAGAUUAAAAUAGUCCCCUGAAUCUUUCUUCCUAACUUCCAGGUGGAUGAGCACCGUUGUGUUUAUGAGGCUUGCUCCGGAAGGCAACAGACCGCAGGUGGUUCAUUUUUCCUUGCUUCUGCACCUCCGCACAGCCACCUUUUGCAUGGUCCUUGCUCCAAGGGGCCUGUGGGCAGAAGGUGGCAGCAUCGUAUCCUCAGCGGUGCUGUAUGUGGCCUCUGCUGGGGGCGGGCGGUCUUUGCAGCCAAGGAAACCCAUCCCUCCUCAACCUUAAACCGAACACUUCUAGUCCAACGGAAUAGAGGCAAAAUCUGGUCUGCUAUCAGCAACGUGGUUCUGGGCUAUUGAGUUAGCGUGGAAAUGGGUUUUUAGAAGAUCUGGGAUUUCAUGGCUUCCUUCACUGCCUCCAGGACCAGUGAGGUCAACCCUGAUUGCUGGAGAAGCACCAAUGCAAGGCACUGAAGUGGCAGGCGGACUGAGUCCCCAGCGAACCCAAAUGUUGGGGGUGGGCUUCGCCUUCCAGAACGCCAAGUCAGCUGAGGUCCCGAGGGACUUGGGGAGUGUCAGCAAAGGAGACGGGGAGUCUGACCCUGUAAAAAUAGCCCAUCAGAGUCAGGUCCUUCAGCCGUUUCCUCCAUCUGUCUUCCAAGUCAGUGUUCUCUCAUGUUUAUUGAAAUAUAUGCCUAUAUUGAAAUUUUAAAAAUACCUUCUCUUGACACAUCCACGAUGCCCGCCUUUAAACAACAGAAGGGCACCCCUUAGUUUUCAUAAAAUGAGAAUGUGAGGAGUGCUUUUGAGGGAAAUAGUCAGUGGGGGCAUUUCAUCUUACGAGGGGAUGACGCCGACCUGGGCCUCUUUCCUGUUCCCGUCCCUCCUGGCUUUUGGUCCCGGCCUCGGACAGAAGCUGUCUGCUACACAGCUGACCAGGAGAGACCAGUCCCGAUUAGAACCACCCGCUAAUGGAGGCCGCUUCCCCGUCUGUGCAGAGGAGGGGACCAGCCAGCCCGGCCGCAAAUGAACAGCCUCCUAUCCGAUGACCACGCGACUCUCCAGAGUGAGUAGGAAGCCUUUUUUCCGGGGGGUGGGGGGGAUCUCCAUUUCACUUUCCAACAGCCUGAGAAUCACGUCAAUUAGAAAGAACAGAGUACGGAGUUGGCUCUGACAGCGUGCCCGCCGACAGUCUGCCGUGGAUGGAAUCUUCCCGUGUUCCCUUGUCUACCCAUCACAGCCUGGCUGUCACUCCCAGGAAACGACGGUGGGUUUUUCCAAACAGUCCCUCAGUCAUUCUCAUGGGAGACUGAAAGCUCGUCCUCCACGGGCACGCACGCUGCAUCUCCCCCCUUCCUCGCUGUCUGAGCAGGGCUGACAUUGUGGCCGUCGUCCCGCUUCCUGAAGGUAGGGGAGGUCACAGAAUCAAUCCGAGCCCCUCCGGGGCCCUCCUACCACAUCUGUGAAGGCUUUACGGAGGUUUCUUUCUCCUUCCAUGCUCUGGACACAAGAAAACCAGGGAACAUCCAAAAAAGCAUUUAGCAAUCCCUAUUGCAAAAACUGUGUCAAUGCGUGGAAGUAAUAGUUUUACCCUGUCAGGAAUAGGUAGGCAAGCAAACUAUUUUUAUUACUCCUGUGGUAUUGUGAAUGUGGUGGUUCUUCUUAAUGUGACAUUCCUGCAUGUCCAGUGUUGAGAUGAGAUUGCUGAAACUGCCUUUGCCUUCCAAGAAGCUCUAACUAGCUCUGUGAGUGCGUACGUUUCUCUGUAUGUCAGAUAAAUUGGCCUCUAUCUUUGCUGUUAUAAUCGACUGUGUACGCUAGAAAGCAAGAAGCAAACAUUGCUUUUUAGUGACUUCGCUUUUUUUAUUAUUAUUAUUAUUUGCAAGUGUACUGCUCUAU